rnacentral:lncRNA from 1 species
CCAAGCACAGCAUUCAGGAUACUUGCAUGGUCUUUCCUCUGUGGACCCUUGGAGAAAUGAAAAAGGAAGAGGCUUUUAUUAUUUGUUUUGUGUAGAUGGACAGUGGUGGAACUUUAUCAGUAAGAAGCAUUAGCCAAAAAAAGACUUUAUCUACAGUUCAACCUAAUCACUACCAGCUGGUUGUUCAUGGAGUGAGAACGAUGAAYGUCAUAAGCUGUGCAAGAAAGUGAGAUAUCUACAGCAGACAGCAGUAUCUUGUCAAGAGGAAAAGGUAGUCCUUGAUAAAGAUAUAUGACUUCAGAUACUUUGGCUUUACUCCAGUUCCUACCUUGAACUUCCCGCAUUAUCAGGGACAAGUCACAAACCUUUGUACCUUGUUGCUUCRUAUCAAAAAUGUAGAUAAUUCUUCUUCUGUUUUCUUUCUUCUUAUUGUUUGUGGCAAUUCCUAAACUCGCUCAGUGAUGCUUUGACACAACAAAGCCCUAUUUGGAGGUUGGUGGCUACAAACUGCUGAAAUGUAAACAGAUUGUCACCAAAUUAAGGAAUUACCUAAGCAAUAGACUUCGUCCUCUCACUGCUACUUUUGGCUAAUAUUAAAACUGUGUUUACUGCACAGGUUAAUACAAACCAACAGCUGGCAAAACAUUUAGUACAUUUCUGAAAAGGGAGGUGGAUUCAGUAGUGGCUAGUUUCCAUUUCUGCCAGGAUCCCACCUCUGACUGUUAAAAGGGGCAUGGUAGGGCUCUUCCCUGUGCAGAAAA